UGCAAGUCGAGCGCGGGAAGCCGGCGGACUCCUUCGGGAGGAAACCGGUGGAACGAGCGGCGGACGGGUGAGUAACACGUGGGCAACCUGCCGGACUGAUGGGAAUAACCCCGGGAAACCGGGGCUAAUGCCCAAUACGCCCUGACCUCGCCUGAGGUCAGCGGUAAAGCAGGGAUCUUCGGAUCCUUGCACAGUCCGAUGGGCCCGCGGCGCAUUAGCUAGUUGGAGAGGUAAGGGCUCCCCAAGGCGACGAUGCGUAGCCGACCUGAGAGGGUGAUCGGCCACACUGGGACUGAGACACGGCCCAGACUCCUACGGGAGGCAGCAGUAGGGAAUCAUCCGCAAUGGGCGAAAGCCUGACGGUGCAACGCCGCGUGAGUGAUGAAGGUUUUCGGAUCGUAAAGCUCUGUUGACAGGGAAGAACCCACGUCAGUCGAACAGGCUGGCGUGCUGACGGUACCUGUCCAGAAAGCCCCGGCUAACUACGUGCCAGCAGCCGCGGUAAUACGUAGGGGGCAAGCGUUGUCCGGAAUUAUUGGGCGUAAAGGGCACGCAGGCGGUUUCGUCAGUCCGAUGUGACAGGCCACGGCUCAACCGUGGAAGGCCAUUGGAAACUGCGAAACUUGAGGACAGAAGAGGAGAGUGGAAUUCCACGUGUAGCGGUGAAAUGCGUAGAUAUGUGGAGGAACACCAGUGGCGAAGGCGACUCUCUGGUCUGUACCUGACGCUGAGGUGCGAAAGCAUGGGGAGCAAACAGGAUUAGAUACCCUGGUAGUCCAUGCCGUAAACGCUGAGUGCUAGGUGUUAGGGGUUUCGAUACCCGUAGUGCCGAAGCUAACGCAUUAAGCACUCCGCCUGGGGAGUACGACCGCAAGGUUGAAACUCAAAGGAAUUGACGGGGGCCCGCACAAGCGGUGGAGCAUGUGGUUUAAUUCGACGCAACGCGAAGAACCUUACCAGAUCUUGACAUCUUCCGCUACGCCUCGAGAGAGGCGGUUCCCCUUCGGGGGACGGAAUGACAGGUGGUGCAUGGUUGUCGUCAGCUCGUGUCGUGAGAUGUU
rnacentral:rRNA from 1 species